rnacentral:tRNA from 1 species
GCCAGUGUGGCUCAGUGGAUAGAGCUCUGGCCUGCGGACCAAAGGGCCCCAGGUUCGAUUCCGGUCAAGGGCA